AGGAAAGGUAGUAGAUAGUGCCAACCUCUCCCAGCUACCUGAGAUAUGUGGUUUUUGUUUUUGGAAUCAACACUUUCUGGGUUUCUAGCCUUUAGUUGCCCCUAACCCGCAAGGCAGAGGCAGAGAAGGCCCCUUUUGAAGCCUUUUGCUUUAAAACUUGAGGCUUCUGUUUCCCUGUCUUUCCCCAGACUCCCAAGAGCUUUUGGUGAGUGAGGCAACACACACACACAUUAGUAACAGGGCCUCCCGCACAGCCAGGCUCAUUGGCCAACAGUGGAGAAUUGUCUGGGCUGUUCCAGGUACAGAGCAAGGAGAGGGUCCACCCAGGCUGGCUUCUUUUCGGAGCCACUGCCUGCCUCAUCCUUUCUUUAGCUCCUGGCCCCCCAACACCUCCAUCUCUCAGCCUACUUUUUCUUCAUUUUAAAGACAAAACUUUCCAUUGAAAAACAAAAUGUUGAUUUUGCAGAUUUUACAGCUAGCAAAUCCUUUGGUACCAGGGAGUGCAGGACUCUGUGGAGAAGAGCUCAGCCUUGGGCUCGAUGCCCAGGAUUCAGCUUUGCAACCAGCCAAAAGCCUGGAGACCCAGCCCCCUAAAAGGGCCUUUUCUGGGUUUCCUGCCUGCACAAAUCUGCCUGUUACCUAUAGCUAUCUCUUGUUGUUGUUGUUAUUUUCUUUUUUUUUUAAUUUAGGAAGACAACUGCCCAGAUGACGCAGCCUGAGUUAUGCUUGUUUUAAAAUGCGUGGCAUUUAAUAAUCCUGCCGGAACACACACUUCUUGCCGCAUUAGAUCCAACUGGAAAAUAGAAAGGCAAAUUGCUGUAGGCUGGAAAAUCAAUUAGGAAAAAAAAGAGGUGAAACAUCUGGUGUGACUCUUAGGAUAUGAAAAUUCAUUUUGCACAUUUAAAAUAAAUGUGCUGAGUUCAUUUAAUUGCCUGUUGAACGGUUUUGUGGAGAAUAGUGGGGUGUUUCAUUGAUCCUGGGCAUUUCAUAGCAAGGGGCAUUGCCUUGGGUUCCUGUUUAAUCUUAAUUUUAAAUCAGUCUGGAUUGCAUUUCUAAGGUCUUUUCCACAUGUGUUUCAGUAAACUUAGAACAGUGCUCUUCAAACUUAAGGGUGCGUUAGAAUCAUAGGAAGGGAGUUCCCGUCGUGGCUCAGCGGUUAACGAAUCCGACUAGGAACCAUGAGGUUGCGGGUUCGGUCCCUGGCCUUGCUCAGUGGGUAAAGGAUCCAGCGUUGCGGUGAGUUUCGGUGUAGGUUGCAGACGCGGCUCAGAUCCCACAUUGCUGUGGCUCUGGCGUAGGCCGGUGGCUAAGCUCUGAUUCGACCCCUAGCCUGGGAGCACUCCAUAUGCCCUGGGAGUGGCCCAAGAAAUGGCAAAAGG
rnacentral:lncRNA from 1 species